CACGUAGGGCGCAAGCGUUGUCCGGAAUUAUUGGGCGUAAAGAGCUCGUAGGCGGUCUGUUGCGUCCGCUGUGAAAACUCGGGGCUUAACCCCGAGCCUGCAGUGGAUACGGGCAGACUAGAGGGAGGUAGGGGAGAAUGGAAUUCCCGGUGUAGCGGUGAAAUGCGCAGAUAUCGGGAGGAACGCCAGUGGCGAAGGCGGUUCACUGGGUCUUACCUGACGCUGAGGAGCGAAAGCGUGGGGAGCGAACGGG
rnacentral:rRNA from 1 species